AGGAUGAACGCUGGCGGCGUGCUUAACACAUGCAAGUCGAACGGAAGUAGUAAUACUUCAGUGGCGCACGGGUGAGGAACACGUAGCUCAUCUGCCCUCAAGUGUGGGAUAACGGUCCGAAAGGAUUGCUAAUACCGCAUAAGCUCCCGAGUUGUAGAGGCUUGGGAGAAAAGGAGCAAUUCGCUUGAGGAGGAGGCUGCGGCCCAUCAGGUAGUUGGUGCGGUAAAGGCGCACCAAGCCGACGACGGGUAGGGGACCUGAGAGGGUGACCCCCCACACUGGGACUGAGACACGGCCCAGACUCCUACGGGAGGCAGCAGUGAGGAAUAUUGCCCAAUGGGCGAAAGCCUGAGGCAGCGACGCCGCGUGGGUGAAGAAGGCCUUCGGGUCGUAAAGCCCUUUUCUGUGUGACGAGAACGGACGGUAGCACAGGAAAAGUCUCGGCUAACUACGUGCCAGCAGCCGC
rnacentral:rRNA from 1 species